rnacentral:rRNA from 1 species
GACGAACGCUGGCGGCGUGCCUAACACAUGCAAGUCGUACGGGACCGGGGCAGCUCCGGUUCAGUGGCAGACGGGUGCGUAACACGUGAGGAACUUGUCCGGUGGCGGGGGAUAGCCGGGCCCAACGGCCGGGUAAUACCGCAUACGCUCGUUCGGGGGCACCCCUGGGCGAGGAAAGCAGCCGCAAGGUUGCGCCGACGGAGGGCCUCGCGACCUAUCAGCUUGUUGGCGGGGUAACGGCCCACCAAGGCGACGACGGGUAGCUGGUCUGAGAGGAUGAUCAGCCACAUUGGGACUGAGACACGGCCCAGACUCC